rnacentral:rRNA from 1 species
GACGAACGCUGGCGGCGUGCCUAAUACAUGCAAGUCGAGCGAAUCGAUGGGAGCUUGCUCCCUGAGAUUAGCGGCGGACGGGUGAGUAACACGUGGGUAACCUGCCUGUAAGACUGGGAUAACUUCGGGAAACCGGAGCUAAUACCGGAUACUUUCUUUUCUCGCAUGAGGGAAGAUGGAAAGAUGGUUCUGCUAUCACUUACAGAUGGACCCGCGGCGCAUUAGCUAGUUGGUGAGGUAACGGCUCACCAAGGCAACGAUGCGUAGCCGACCUGAGAGGGUGAUCGGCCACACUGGGACUGAGACACGGCCCAGACUCCUACGGGAGGUAGCAGUAGGGAAUCUUCCGCAAUGGACGAAAGUCUGACGGAGCAACGCCGCGUGAGCGAAGAAGGCCUUCGGGUCGUAAAGCUCUGUUGUUAGGGAAGAACAAGUACGAGAGUAACUGCUCGUACCUUGACGGUACCUAACCAGAAAGCCACGGCUAACUACGUGCCAGCAGCCGCCGUAAGAC